rnacentral:rRNA from 1 species
CACGUAGGGUGCGAGCGUUUGUCCGGAAUUAUUGGGCGUAAAGAGCUCGUAGGCGGUGUGUCGCGUCGGCCGUGAAAACCUGCAGCUUAACUGUGGGCUUGCGGUCGAUACGGGCAUCACUGGAGUUCGGCAGGGGAGACUGGAAUUCCUGGUGUAGCGGUGAAAUGCGCAGAUAUCAGGAGGAACACCGGUGGCGAAGGCGGGUCUCUGGGCCGAUGAUUGACGGCUGAUGCGCGAAAGCCAGGGGAGCAAACGGG